AACAAUAAUUAAAACUAAUCAGAUAUGAAGUGAGAAAAUGUUAACAAUUUUAAAACACUAAUACAUGACUAUCCCAAAUAUCUGGUAUCACAAUCCACGAACGUCGAAGAAUUUCUACAAAUUCUUGUUAAAAGGAAAUAUAUUUGUUUUUCGGAAUGAAAGAAAAUGUUAACUAAUAUAGAGGGAAGGGGACUCCAUAGUCUGCGAACGACGGCAUAUCUACCGUGGGUCUGAUGAAGACUAAAGCACCAACCCAAACUCUAAUCAAUAUGGCCCAGUACCGAGAUCUGUGUAGAAAGUGUAGAGUCUAGUAUCAAUACCAUCAACCCCAUGUACUGGUAAGUGUCGAGCUUAACCUCGGCGAAGUAGUGACGGGACUAAGAUAUGACAAAUAACAUAAACCAUUGCUGUUAAACAAUGUACUAACAGAAUAACAAGUAAUAUAAGCUAAGCAGAAACUAAUGGGAAAGGGAAACAUGCUAUGGGGUUACCAAAAUAAAGAAUCACAGCAGUACAGGAAUUUAAAUAGCUAGUACACUUUGAACCGGUAAUAACAAGUAAGCACAGCAAACGAAAAAUUCACAGCAACUUUCGUGCUUUUACUCUCAACCACACCAGAAAAACAAUAAUAGAAACGUACACAAUACCACCCUUCGUGCUUUACCGCGCAACCUCACCAAAUAAUCAAUAUAAAUGUGCAAAACAUCACCCUUCAUACUUUAAAACUCUUCAUCACCAUAAGAAACAAUAACAAGCCGGCAAGGCAUCAUAAUUAAACAAUUUUGUUUCAUCACUUUAUUUCACAACAGAAAUCUCAACAUGAUCCAAUACUCAGCCAAUAUCCAAAAAACUAGGAAAGCAUAGUAAGACUUGUUUAACAUGAGUAUUACCAAUUUAAGCAGGAACAAUGCGUAUAAAGAAAACACAACGGUCACAAGUAUAAUACUCACUCGCAUGUUAUGACCCGACAACAAUGUAUAGAUACUCGUCACCUCAUCUAUACAUUGUACUUAACAACAACAAAAUUAGUAAAUAAGACAACAUUACCUAAUCCCUCAAGUUAUGGUUAGCCACAACACUUACCUCGAUUCCACGACCAAGCUUAAGCCUCAAAUACCGAUUUUCUCUUAGUUUCCCCUUCCAAUAUGCUCGUCUCUACUAAUAAUUAACUUGUGACCAUCAAUUAAAGCUAGAGAAACCAAAUCCAACGCAUAACUAAUUUUCCAAUAUUUUCCUCAAAAGUCAAAAACUGACCAUAGGUUUGCUUGCUCAAAACUCGAAGUUCAGACCAGAACUCGAUUACAUAUUCACCCCCUAGCCCCGAUAUAAAAUUGAUUUUGUAAUCUGACCUCAAUUUGAGGUCUAAAUCCCCAACUUUUCAAAUUCCUAAGUUCUACCUAAAACACUCAAUUCCCCAGUGAAAAACCCUAGAUUUUGUGAUGAAAUCUUGUAAGAAGAUGAAAUAGAUUGAAAGAAAUGAGUUAAAAAUCAUUUACCUAUGAUUUGAGAAUGACUACUCCUUGGAAAAUUGGCUCUUGAAUCUUAGGGUUUGAAAAUUUGAGAAAUGAAUUAAAAAUCCCGUCUAAGUCUCUUUUGCGGAGUUGCAAAUGUCGCAUUUUCAACUGUCACACCUCUUUUUUAUUCGCCCGAAGGGGUACAAGGGAGUUUUUCCAAUUAAAGUGACAUUAAUAAAAAUGAAAUUAUUUUAUUUAUUUUUCAAAGUCGCCACUUGAAAUAUUUGUUAUGAUGUCCUAAGUAACCGGUUUAUUUUAAAUUCUAAAUGAGGGAAAUUUUACUUUAUUUAAAAGUCUACGAACCAAAAAUUUUAGAAAAGGAAUUAUGUUAACUUUGUAGAAGGUAUUAGACAUUUUCGGUUCUGUGAUUCUAGCACAAUCGCCUAAACUAUUAAUAAUAGGUCUAUCAUCUCAUUAAUUACAAGUUUUAAACCUAUUGUGCAUUUUUAGCUUUGAUAACCGCUUUUCUUUAUUUAUGGAGUUAUUUUUGGGACAAGUCACGAUUGUCGCACACUUGCCGUUUUGGAAUACAUUGCAAAUCGCACUACGUGAAAAAUAUCUACAAUUUACUAUAUGUAUAUUUUAUUAUUAUUCAAAGUUAUUAUAAUCGGGUCACAUCAAAGCUACACAUUGGCAGACUUGACAGAUAUAACUAAAUCCAGUGAUCAAAACAGAAUAAAUGCACGAAAUCAGACAUACAUACAACAUGAUUAACUUGCAUUUUUAUUUAAAAGAGAGCAGUGGAGUAUUACAUGUGAGCAUAUACGUACCUAUCUGCAGCAAAAUCCAAUUAAAUGACCAAUUCAAGGCCUAACGCACAGGAAUCCAUUUAAUAAAUGUCAAUGGCCAAAUAAAGGCCACAAUAGAGCUGAUGGAGUUCAGAAAGGACCAUGAAAGAAGCAGUAGUCGAAACAAAAUAUCCUCAAACCCAGCUAAACCAUGAGGAGCCCCAGAAAAAUACUUCAAAUGACAGAAAUCGAAAUCCCUAUAGAAAAUCAUCUUAAUCCAUUCUUGAAAAGCUCUUGUUUUCACUUUUUUUUCUUUUAACUUUUGAGCUUCGAAUUUGUUUUUGAUCCUUAUUUGUGCUUGUCUAUUCUUCAGAUGUGUGUGUUAAUCUGUGUAUUUUCGGUGAAGAUAAGAGUGAAGAGAAGAUGUGGUGAGGCUCUGCUACGGGUCAGUUGGUAUUAAUUUUUUAUGAAGAAGAAAGCAGUGCCCCUAGAAGAAAAAUCAAGUUCAUGGGGCGCCCUAUUUUAGCUUUUUCUCGGGGUCCUCUACUGAUCUAUCGCUUAGGUCU
rnacentral:lncRNA from 1 species